rnacentral:misc_RNA from 1 species
AACAAACUAAAGACUGACUUUUUGAUAAAACAAGGUCUUUGCAUUUGCUGGGCAUUCUUGAUUCUCCCUGCUUUCUUGCUUAACUUUUCUAACAAACCCAUCUACCCUUUUCCUUUUAUGAACCAGCUAUUUAUUUAUUUCUUAUGUUAGUCUCCAGUACUAGAAUCCUCAGGUAUCAAAGAGAAGUUGCAUAGAAGAUGGGUAAUUACAGGUUUAGAUUGUCAGAUAUGAUACCAAAUGCCUGGUUUUACAAGCUCAAAGACAUGAGCAGAGGCAGAAAGCAAUGCAACUCUCAGAGGUCUUUCAAGAAAAAAUCAUUUUCAGCAACUACAUCUUCUCAAAAAUCCAACAUCUCUCAGCCAAGAUACACCUACUACUUCACCACAGAACCUUGUAGAGCUGAUAAAUUCUACAAUUCACCUAUAAACACUAAGGCCUCAGAUACUCGUUUCCCUGAUUCACCAAGAAGAUCAUCAUCCAAUAAAAGAAGCAAAAGAAAAACAAUCUACAAGCCUUCUCCUAAGCUUGUCUCUUCAGCUUUUCCUUCUGAUUGUAGCUGUCAUGCAAAGGUCAAUUCGGUCUGGACCAAGUCCAUUGCUCAAGCUCACUCACCUGUAGAAUACUCUAGCCCUCUUCCUGAGACCUCCCCUGAACCUGGCUUCCACGAAUCUCUUCUAUCUGAAUCUGAGGAUGAUGAUGAUGGUUUUGCUCCUAAUUACUCAUUUGAUCAAGAAUUUGCCGCCUGCUCUAGCUCUUGCAACUGUAAAGUAAGUUCUUCAACUACUGAUAUUAUCAUUGACGUGAAUGGUGAAUCCUUUAAGAGUAAAACUAAGAAGAUUGAUGGGUUCGAAACCAUUUCUGAGGUGGAGCUACCGCCUAUAUUCACCAAGCCAGCAAAAUUCAAUGGCGAGAUGAGUCAAGUCACAAAGUUCAAAAGAACAUCAUCUAAACCGGAGGAGAUAAAAGCGAACAGGUCUCUUUCUGUUAAGAAUGUAAAGGAGGAAAGAGAUGGGACUCAUAAAGAGCAGAAGUCCAAACCUGUCACACAAAGAUCCUCACCAAAUUCUGUGGGGAUAAGACUUCGAGUUAACUCUCCAAGAAUUGCAAGCAGGAAGAUUCAGGCUUGUGCCCGUAAAAGUUUGUCAGCAUCAAGAAACAGGACUCUCUCAGAGAGCCUUGCAGUGGUUAAGUCCUCAGUUGAUCCACAGAAAGACUUCAGGGAUUCAAUGGUGGAGAUGAUCAUAGAGAACAAUAUCAGGACAUCAAAAGAUUUGGAAGAUCUUCUUGCUUGUUACCUUUCACUCAAUUCAAAAGAGUACCAUGAUCUUAUAGUCAAGGCAUUUGAAGAAAUCUGGUUUGAUAUGACUGACCUUCGCCUGUAAAUAAUUUUUAGAUUUCUUAAUGUAUUUUACUGCUUUAUUAAGGUCUUCUCUUCUCUCUUCCUCUCAGAACUCAAACAAGCAUUAAUAGGCUACUCGGUCUUUAUGUAUACAAUCUAUGCUUUAGUGUUCUGUAAAUGUACAGCUUAUUGUUCCCUGGGAAGUUAUGCUUCUGUUUAAAUCAGUUUUGUUGUCCGGGAAAGAAUCCAAACUAGAAACUGGAGAUGAGAAGCUCCUUAC